rnacentral:misc_RNA from 1 species
AACUUUGACCAACGGAUCUCUUGGCUCUCGCAUCGAUGAAGAACGCAGCGAAAUGCGAUAAGUAAUGUGAAUUGCAGAAUUCAGUGAAUCAUCGAAUCUUUGAACGCACCUUGCGCUCCCUGGUAUUCCAGGGAGCAUGCCUGUUUGAGUGUCACGUAAUCAUCAUCUUCCUUGUGAUUUGUUUCUCGAGGAGGUGGACUUGGACCGUGCCGUCGUUGGCUCGUCCUGAAAUGCAUUAGCCUGGUCUAAAGCUGGCCCUUGGGUGUGAUAAAUAUCUACGCCGCUGGUGCCGCGAUUGCUCCUGGCUUCUAAACCCGCCUCCAAUUCAUUUUGGAUGGCUUAAUUUUAAUGCUCUGGCCUCAAAUCAGGUAGGACUACCCGCUGAACUUAAGCAUAUCAAUAAGCGGAGGCU